AACCGCGAGGUUCGGUCUGGAGGAAGCCGCUAGCAAAACUGCGAGCUGAUGAACAAAAACAUCAUAUGAGGCGUAGGCUGAAGGCGAGUUGGCACAAGACGACGAAGCCAUGUGAUCUAACGGCCACCGUAAAUGAUGCAGCUGUGCAGCGAAAGUUGAU
rnacentral:ncRNA from 1 species